UUAACUGAAACCAAAAAAGAGGUAUAUUACUGUUAAUAAUAUAAUUGAAUGAAACAUUCCAGUUAAA
rnacentral:tRNA from 1 species